GACGUAGGGGGCGAGCGUUGUCCGGAUUUAUUGGGCGUAAAGCGUGCGUAGGCGGUCUGUCGCGUCGGCUGUGAAAUCCCGAGGCUCAACCUCGGGUCUGCAGUCGAUACGGGCAAACUAGAGUAUUGCAGGGGAGACUGGAAUUCCUGGUGUAGCGGUGAAAUGCGCAGAUAUCAGGAGGAACACCGGUGGCGAAGGCGGAUCUCUGGGCCUUACCUGACGCUCAGGCGCGAAAGCUAGGGGAGCGAACAGG
rnacentral:rRNA from 1 species